rnacentral:rRNA from 1 species
UACAGAGGUCUCAAGCGUUGUUCGGAUUCAUUGGGCGUAAAGGGUGCGUAGGCGGCGCGGUAAGUCGGGUGUGAAAUCUUGGAGCUCAACUCCGAAACUGCAUUUGAUACUGGCGUGCUUGAGGACUGGAGAGGAGACUGGAAUUCAUGGUGUAGCAGUGAAAUGCGUAGAGAUCAUGAGGAAGACCAGUGGCGAAGGCGGGUCUCUGGACAGUUCCUGACACUGAGGCACGAAGGCCAGGGGAGCAAACGGG